AUUGAACGCUGGCGGAAUGCUUUACACAUGCAAGUCGAACGGCAGCACGGGGGCAACCCUGGUGGCGAGUGGCGAACGGGUGAGUAAUACAUCGGAACGUGCCCGGUCGUGGGGGAUAACGUAGCGAAAGUUACGCUAAUACCGCAUCGGAUCUGAGGUUGAAGCGGGGGGACCUUCGGGCCUCGCCGGUCCGGGCGGCCCGAUGUCAGAUUAGGUAGUUGGUGGGGUAAAGGCCUACCAAGCCGACGAUCUGUAGCUGGUCUGAGAGGACGACCAGCCACACUGGGACUGAGACACGGCCCAGACUCCUACGGGAGGCAGCAGUGGGGAAUUUUGGACAAAGGGCGCAAGCCUGAUCCAGCCAUUCCGCGUGCAGGACGAAGGCCUUCGGGUUGUAAACUGCUUUUGUAUGGAACGAAAAGGCUCUGGCUAAUACCUGGGGCUCAUGACGGUACCGUAAGAAUAAGCACCGGCUAACUACGUG
rnacentral:rRNA from 1 species